rnacentral:rRNA from 1 species
ACGGGGGGUGCAAGCGUUAUUCGGAAUUAUUGGGCGUAAAGGGCGCGUAGGCGGUCUCUAAAGUCAGAUGUGAAAGCCCGGGGCUUAACCCCGGAAGUGCAUUUGAAACUCAGGGACUUGAGUAUGGGAGAGGGAAGUGGAAUUCCUGGUGUAGCGGUGAAAUGCGUAGAUAUCAGGAGGAACACCAGUGGCGAAGGCGACUUCCUGGACCAAUACUGACGCUAAGGCGCGAAGGCGUGGGGAGCAAACAGG